CCCCCUCAGCCAGCUGGGCAGUGACGGCCUCUGGAGCCAGGAGCCCACGGAGAUCGUUCUCAGCCUGGAGCUGGAGGAGCCUGGAGCAAACCCUUCCUGCAGGCCACCUCCCAACCCAGGCCCACUUGGGAUGCUCCUGUCCAGCCUGGGCCAAAAGGGCUCUAAGCCACUAGCUGGGCCACAUCAGAGGCACCCAGAGGGACUGGCCUGGCCACCCGGACCAAACAGCACAACAGACAAGUUGAAUCAAAGAAGCAAGCUGCAGGAGGGCGCUUAGACGGAAACCCUUUCACAGAAGGUUCAAGAGUAUCGCCCAGGCUGGGUCCAUCCCCAGCCCCAUUUGCAAGGACUUGACCCGGGCCAGGGUCCCACUGGGUGGGGUGCCAAGGAGGAAGGAGGACUGGGAGAUGGGCCCACCCUGGGCCGGGGGAGGGGACACUUGCAGGGCGGGAGGAGGAAGAGGAGCCAGGCGCUUCCCGAGGAGGAAGCGGUGCCUGGAUUUUCCCCAGGUGUGGCCGCAGGUAUAAAGGGCACCAGGAGCCGGCAGCAGCCGGGGCAGCCGCCAGGGCACACGCGCUCAGAGCCCAGCCGCCGCCACGAUGGUGAGCUUCCUGCCCCGCGCCCUGCCGGGACGGUGCCCCUGGCCCUGAGCGGUUGCUGGUUGGCUGAUCUCCGGGCUGAGGAUGUUGGGAGAAGGCUCAGGAAGGCCUUCAACGUUGGGAGAAACGGGAGCCAGGACCCAGGAGCCCGGCUCUCUCCUGGCCUCCUGCUUCUGGCCUGGCUGCCCGCCUGCCUGGCUCGCCACAGCCCCCAACCCCGGGCGGGCGCCCCG
rnacentral:lncRNA from 1 species